AAAAAAAUGGGGCGAGCGAGCGAAAUUUAAAUUUAUAUUUUUAAAUUCUUCGCCUCAAAUUUUGAAGAAAUAUGGAGCGAGCGAUAUUUUUUUUCUCUCAAUUUUUAUAUCUUUUACCUAAAAGAAGCAACUGAAUUUUCAACUCACUUAAUUGAAAGGGGACAUAAUUUGAUAUAAUUAAAUUAUCUCCCUUUUUAUAUGUAUUUCAACUUUCUGCAUUCUUUUUCAUUUUGUUUUGUUGUUUGUAUAAUUAACACUGCACAAAUAUACACUUUUGAACAUAUUUUUUUAUGCAUGAACUUUAUAUGGCUAUCUGCUUUUAAUAUGCACUGCUUUCAUCUGUAGUAUAUGCACCUUCUGGUCCUUAGACACCCUCUGUAGUAUGCUAGCUAGCUUCUUGUAACAUAACUGCAUGGUGUGUGUUUUGUGUUUAUGCAUAUGGAUCACUAACCAGUCAAUCCAAGCACAGUGGAAACUGGGGGUUCUAGCUAGUGCUACUUUACAAUUAAAUAUCAGAAAAUAAAUUACACCAAAACAUACCAACAUGGAAAUACCUACAUAACCUACAUUUUUAAGCCUAUGUUAUAACUAAGAUUUCAACCAGAUGCAUCAUGGAGUCUAUAAUCCUGCAAUAGAAAUGCAUUUUUUUUCAUUUACAAAACAUCCUGUGUUAAACAAGUUAACUUUCAAUUUCACCCAUCUUUAAAAAUGGUAUAAAAUAUCAAAUUUUAUCAUUUUGUCAGUACCUUGUAUUAUUAUAAAAAGGUACAUAUAAAAAUGGAACAAUAUGGGGUAUUUUAAAGUUUGAGAACUGCACAACAUCCACCAGGAAAAAUAACAAAUGCAGAGGUCUCCACAAGGCCGUCAACAACUGUUUUGGUGUCUAUCUUUUCAUAUCAAAAGAAAUGUAUCAAUGAAAUAUCAGUAGGGAUAUUUACAGGGCCAACAAAAGGCUUAAUUUCUACUCCAUGUACAACAAUU
rnacentral:lncRNA from 1 species